rfam:Camelus ferus unplaced genomic scaffold scaffold195, whole genome shotgun sequence.
GAGGGUAUAGCUCAAAGUGGUAGAGCGCAUGCUCAGCAUGCACAAGGUCCUGGGUUCAACUCCCAGUACCUCCU